rnacentral:rRNA from 1 species
CCCUUAGAUGUUCUGGGCCGCACGCGCGCUACACUGAUGCAUUCAACGAGCCUAUCCUUGACCGACAGGUCCGGGUAAUCUUUGAAUCUGCAUCGUGACGGGGAUAGAUUAUUGCAAUUAUUAAUCUUCAGCGAGGAAUGCCUAGUAGGCGCAAGUCAUCAGCUUGCGUCGAUUACGUCCCUGCCCUUUGUACACACCGCCCGUCGCUCCUACCGAUUGGGUGUGCUGGUGAAAUGUUCGGAUCGGCCGUUUGUCGCGGUUUCCGCGGCUCGUGGCUGAGAAGUUCAUUAAACCCUCCCACCUAGAGGAAGGAGAAGUCGUAACA